GGUGGGCUGUCCGAGCGGCCGAAGGAGCUUGUCUUGAAAACAAGUGAGGGGCGACUCUCCCUGGGUUCGAAUCCCAGGCCCACCG
rnacentral:tRNA from 1 species